UGGGUAACCUGCCUCAAAGAGGGGAAUAGCCUCCCGAAAGGGAGAUUAAUACCGCAUAAUAUGUUUAGGUCGCAUGACUUUAACAUCAAGGGAUUUUCUUUUAGAAAUUCCACUUUGAGAUGGACCCCGCGGCGCAUUAGCUAGUUGGUGAGGUAACGGCUCACCAAGGCAACGAUGCGUAGCCGACCUGAGAGGGUGAUCGGCCACAUUGGAACUGAGACACGGUCCAGCUCCGUAGGAGG
rnacentral:rRNA from 1 species